AAAGAAAAAAAAAAGAAAAAAAAAAGAAAGAAAUGUAUUUUCUAACAUUUCGGGAGACUGGAAGUCUAAGAUCAAAGUGUCUGCAGCAGAAUUGGUUUCUUCUCAGGCCUUUCUCCUAGGCUUUCAGAUGGCCAGCCACCUUAUCAUGGUGUCCUCGUAUGGACCCAUCCUAAGAGCUUAAUUUUAAAGUAAUCACCACCAAAUACAGUCACCUUUUGAGACACUGGAGUUUAGGGUGUCAACAUAUGAAUGGUGGGGGGGACACAAUUCAGUUCAUAAUAGCAGAAACACACAUGUCAAUCAAACAAAAUAAUUUAAAAUAGUCUGGAGGGCUUGAAUUGUACCUCUCUCUGAGUGUAUGUAGACAGUGCCUGGAGACUGUCCUCCCCCUGCGGCCCCACAUCCUCAGUGUUCUGGCCUUGUUUCCACUGCUCUGCUCCAUGGUGUGGGAGGAGCUGGAAAAGAGACUCUGUUUCCAGGGAAGCACGGCCUAAGCUUCUCUGCACCUGGGCCUUGAGACAGCUGCUGCCUUCAACAACCACAAGUCUACUGCUGUUCCCGGUAAUAAGUACCAUGGAAACCUAGUGCCUCCCUGAUUUUUGGUAUCGACUUCCCUUGGGAUCACAGUCUUCUCCAUGACCCGCAGGGAGACUCAGCACUGCAAUUAUCUGCAUGGGUUGGAUGGGCUGACAUGCCUUUCUGUGGCAUAUCACUAACACUUAAACCAGAAAUUGAUUAAUUUGAUUUGGGUUAAAAAAAUCUAACCCCUUUAAGGCUUUGCUGAUCAUUGAUAAACCUAUCCUUUCAGCAUUACCGUUUAAGAUAAAGGGUUGCUGCCUUAAUAUUUGCCUUUUUUUGCUAUUUAAAAAUCUUCAAAAGGUUAUAUCAUAGAUAGAUAAAUUCUAAUAACAGCCCCAAAACUGAUAGACCUGCACUCUCAGAUUAUUGAUCCCAAUACUCUCAGCAGUUUUAAGCCCCCUACCCAAAGGGAACCCCUACCAAUUUAAUUCAGUAGACUUCUGGAUUUCAUUUAAUGUGGAUGUUAUCUUGUUUUGUUUCUUACUAUCCGAUGCUCUUACCAUCUUAAUUAGGUUGAAAUCAGCAGUUAGAAUCAGAAUGCCUGUAAUAGUUUUUCUUUGGAUCACAGUUACACUCUUAACGAUGUGACUAUGGUCUGUCUCUGUGUGUCCACCUGUGCGUGUACAUGUGUGGGAAUGUGUGUAUUAUAGGAAGAGCAAUGGAUGUUAAGUCAGGAAGAUAAGCUUGAAUGUGAGUUCUGCUUCUUCUAAGAUACCUGAACUUGGUGGAGUGAGCCUCCAUGAGCCCCAAUGUCCUCAUUUGCAAAAAGUGAGGCAAUGGCUGCCCCUUAGAUUAGGCUGCUUCAAAAUCUGUAUAUACCAAACCAUCUUGUAAACCAAGGUGCUGCACAGAUUAAUAACUGACACAUUGGAAGCUGAGGAGUGUUUGGAUAUGUGGGAAAUGGGGCACAUUAAAAUCACUACUAGAGGCUAAAUGUGAUUUAUUUUAUGAGCUAAUUGCAGGAUUUAAAUUUGGGAGCUAAAUUUUAACUUAAAUGUUAAAUAUUAUAUAUAGGAACUGGUGUUUGGGGGGAAAAUCAAGCCAGUAAGUACUGUUAGAGAGGAGGAGGAUGAUGCUGUGAAAAUUUAAAUCCCACAAUGUUGUUUACUAGAAAGAUAUCCAUUUCUAGGCAUCUGGACAUGAAUUUCUCAGCCUUUGAGAAAAGCCAACUUAACCAGCAUGCCCUUUCGAUAUGAUUGCUCUGGAAGCAUGGAAUGCUCAGUUUGAAACUGAGUUGUAUGUCAAUCUCUGAUAUCUCAAUUUCUGACACACUGAACACAAGCAGGAGAGGAAAUUCUGGAGUGAAGAACCCUCUCUCUCAUUUUCUCGCCAUCCUAUCUCAUGUCAUUUCUCUUCAGGCUGAUUGUUUUUAAGAACAGGUGCUCAGUGCUUAGUAAAGAAUACUUUUUCUGAAGCAUUUUCCCCAAAGUGUAUCUUGAUAGAUUCUGCAAACUAUUAAGUAAGAUUUCAUAUGCUGAGAUGGUGUAAGAUGAUUUCUGUUUUUGGAGAAAGCUAAAAUUCAUCUAAUUGACUUUUUAAUCUAUUUUCCUCUUUUCCAUAUAAAUAUUAAAAAAAAAACAAAGUGUAAUAGUAGAUUUAAUCUCCAGAGGAUAAGAAUUUAGGGCUUUAUUUUUUGUUGUUUUUAUUGAAACAUUUUGUGAUAAAAAAAAGUUUAUUAUGGCUUAAGGGGGAAUGAAUGUAUUCAGAUAAGUUAGUGAUAUGAAUAAGCAUGCCUAAUUCCUCUUCCACACAGACUGUCUUAAGAUCUUUCAUUCUUCAACUAUUUAUUAAACACCUGCUAUUUGCCAGAUGCUGUUUUAGGCACUCAGCUCCAGAGCUGCAAUAAUGAUGAAGAUUUACUGAAGCCUGACUCCCCUGGAACUUACAUUCCCAUGGAGAAGUUACAUAAGAACCAGUAAACAAGUAAGAUGACUUCCAAUGUUGAGACAUGCUGAACAGGGUCAGGAUAGGAAGUAGGAAUUUAUAUAGGUGUUCUGGGAGGCCACAGCUGACGUCAUGGUAGUUGAACUGAGUCUCAAA